UCUGUGCGUAACUGUUUGUACGUAAGGGAGAGAGAGAGAGCAAGAAGAAAAAGAGAGAUUUAAUUUGGGGGGCUGGGACGGCAGCACUAAUAGUGGACUCGGCUCUGAGGUUCCCUUUCCUGAAAUAUUUUCAGUGUUCUAGGGAGAGCAGUUGAAGGGAUGUGAAACCGUUCAGUCCGUUGUCAUUUAAAGGAUUAAGGUCUCCAACCUUCAGAAAUGAAGCUUUUGAACUCUGACUUUCUAACGCUUCACUGGACAAGGAUUUGUUGAGAGUGCCAGUAUUCUGUCUUUCUGGAAUCUUUAAAAAGGAGUUCUUUGCUGCAUUCAGCUUGAGGGUGACCUUUCUUUCAAGCUUAAACAGCAUUACAGACGAUUGUUUUGUGUGACUUUCAAAAGUGAUUAGACAAUAUAACUUACUGCAACCUGCAUAGCAACUGAAGCCAAACCAAACUUAAAAAACUGUUUAUUCAACGACACUACUCAGGCUACCAUAUAAUUUAUAUAAGCAUAUACAGCAAAAGACAUGCCCAUCUGAUUUUGUGGAUUUCUUCUUCU